UUUUUUUUUUUUUUCCUUUUUUUUUUUUUUUUUUUUUUUUUUUGUGUGUUUUUAUGACAUAAGUUUAUAUUGUCUUCUUAGAAUUCUAUCUAGAAUGAUGUCCUUUAAAAAAUGAGAUUUUUUUUUUUUUUUUUUUUUUUGCAAAGUAUUAUUCAAUUACCAACUUUUUUUACUUCUAAAUUAUUUAGAUAUACUAAUUAUAAUUUGAUUGAGUAAUGAAAUAUAGAGAUUUUAAAAGCAAAAGAUAAAAAAUAAAUUGACUAUUAAUAUAUAAUUAAUUAAUUAAUUAAUUAAUUAAUUAAUUUUGAUAUGUAAUUUGAUAACCAAGUAAACAACAAACAUACAAAUAUACAAACAUAAACAAAGAAAAAAAAAACAUAUAACAUUUUAAGCACAGAACUACUACUCUGAAUGUUUUCAGAAAUGGGGUAAUUAACAUUUUUUUUUUUUUUUUUUUUUUUCUAGUUUAUUAAGAGGGACUACAAAGGUUUAUUUUAUACCCCCACAUGUAUUCAUAUUUGAUUCCAAGGUGAGAUGGGAUGGGACUGAACGGCCCUUUUUCUAUAUUGUAAGAAAGCCUCCCUCCCUUGGCAAGGAAGGGUUUUCUAAUUGAUGAGUGAGUGGGUGCCAUCAAUCAUGCACGAUUCCGAAUGGCAAUAAAUGCACGGGUGCCAGUGCCAUUCCCCAUCACCCAAACCCCACUUUGGGCCCCAUCCCUGCCCAACCCAGCCUUUGAGCCAAUGCUUUAAAGCUGAAGGGAGACUGAGGACACAAAGCACAGGGAAAGAAAUAGGAGGGAAAGGAAGGGAGGGUGUCCACCUCGAUCCCAUGUCAUUUGGCGCCAAUCCCCAGAGUGCCUGCGUGUCCCCGCCAAGGUGGCCACUCCCGGGGUGACUUGGCACCAGUAAGGAUGGCUCGUCCCUCAAUAAUUAGAUGGGCAGUGGAGCAAGUGGUGGGCACUGUCUACACCCUUAAGUCAUAACGUGGGCAAUGUCUAUCCAAGUGCUUAUGUUGAAUUGUGAAUAAAACAUUAAAAAUAAUAAUAAUAAUAAUAAAUUCACUAUGUAUAUAAAAAAAAAAAUGCAAGAUAUGAUAUGAGUAAUUUAAUCUACUUUGUUACUAUUCUUUUACAUAUUGGUGUUUGUAAUGGAGGAAGAGACAGGAAGAGAUUAUUUGUUUGUCUCAACAAGCUAUUUUCCUCAUUUAGCAUAUCAAAUUCAAUUAAUAUUCUAGAAAAAUUUGAUGAUGUAUCCACUAUUUUUUUAAUUUUUUUCUUCUUUUUAUGCUUUAGGGAUUGUACUCACUUCAGUGAUAAAUCACCUAAAAGUGAGGAUGUAUCAAUGGAAUAAAUACCCUUUGGGCCCAUAAGACCCACCUAGCCAGACCAAAGGUAUGCCCACACAAUAACAGAUUAUGCACAGAAUCUGGUGCCAAGGGUGGUGGCAUAAGGACUAUGAUGUGUGGAAGAAGAAGAAGCUUCUACAACCAUUACAGUAUGGAAUGUCCCCAUUCCUGGACUGCUGGAUGCAGAGCUUUGAUGGAGAAGCGGAGCUCUAUGUAUAAAGGUUAGAUGUACAACAAUACAAAUGGUUAUCUGUAAAAAAAAAUAUUUACUUUUAAUAAAUUGCAUGUAUGUGUGUAUAAGCUGUGAUAACUGCAAAUCAUACACAAUUCAUUUAAUUUAUCUAGUAAAGUAAUGAAAAUAAACAAAAAAAUAUUUUUUUUGAAUAGAAAAUUCAAAAUUAUCAAAUAAUACUUAAACAUUUUCAUGAAAUUAAAAAAAAUCAAAUUGUAACCAAUGUGGUUUUAAAAGUUUGUGUGUAUUACUGUGUUUGUGUUCCUCUUCAAUGUGAUUUUUUUGUAAGCAUGGACAUGCAUAUCAAAAUAAUCUAUUAAGAAUUAAUCUAUUAAGAAUCUAUAAAGAAUUACCAUGUGUUUUAAUCUAUUAAUAAUCAAUUAAGAAUUACUAUGUUUUUAUUAAGAAUAUUUUUCAACGCCAACUCCAAACUGAAAUCCACGAAAUUAAGACUCACAUGGACAGAAAUGCCGAUCGGGCAUUCGUCGCCAACAUUCAUCUACAAAAGCUUCAUUCGUGAAAUGUCAAGUCAUUCAUCAAUAGUUUUUUCAUUCAUCCAUUGGCCACGGGUUGGGUCACGCGAAGUCGAGCUUCGCGGCUUCGGACGCGAUGAGCGAUGAGAUCCAGCUCUCUCGUUCAUUAUCCAACGGCCGUGCUAUUCAUCGAUCGAUCGAUCGAUGCGUUGUAGACCGCGGUGCCGUAGUAUUCGACGUCGCUCAUCUCCUUUACUAACUGCGCUGUAUGUAUUGCUUAUUAUGCCCUCACCCUUGGGCGCUCUCGCUUUUCCCAUUCCUCGGUAGACGCAAUUUUACAUCGCAGCUGCAGCUGCUUCAUUAGCGCGGUUUUUUCCUUCCGAGUCUCUUGAUUCCGCUUUUUGUACUGCAAGGGUGUUUCUUUCCUCCUUCAAUGCGAAAACCUCAGAGUCUGACGAGUUGGGUAUUCUUAUCACGUGGGUGAUGAUAUGACCCUCCUCCGUUCUUUACCAAGCUUUUGUUUUAGCGUUGUGCGCGUUCUAAUCCAGUCAGUUUUAAGUUGGAUUUUUUGUUCUACACCUUGAGAAAUAGAUACAUGUACCCUGUACACGUGCAUGUACUUCGUCUUGGUUUUGCAGUUGGGUGGUACUCAUGAGCGGCUCCAUCUGUAAUGCGGGAAUCAAUUCCCUUGUCCCGGGGGAAUCCGGGUCGAGUGGUCGAAGGCGUGUUGGGGUGGGCAGUCUACUGAUGAUGUCUGUGUUUUCAAUUAUUGGUGAAGAGUGAGAUUCUUGCAGUGGAAGGCGAGACUAGUUUUAGUUGCUUCAAUACCCCCCCCCCCCUCCUUUUUUUUUUUUUUUCUUUUUUUCCUGGUUAACUGGGGAGGGGAUGCCGAUAGAGGGGGUUCAAGUGUUUUUUCGUAUAGCAGCCUUAGUUGUCGGUGUCAUGUGCUCUGCACCGUGUCGCUUCCCUCUGUACUCAUCUGCCACAGUCAGACCUCAAGUCUGCGUAUGUGCAGCAGAGUGAAAGCACCAGGUUUCGCUUCUGAGAUGUGAGGAAUGAACUUAAAAAGAGAGUGCCAGGUUGUCGACAAUGUGGGCUAUCUCAGUUACCCAGAUGAUUGUGAUCCUCUGAUGUUCUCCGAUUCCAGAGCGGCAAACUUCACUAAACGAAGUUAAGUAUCAGGUUCGUUAGUAAGCCUCAGCGCGCGCCAUCUCUUACACUCGCGACUUCGGCGUACAUGGAUUGGUUCAAGCUCAUUUUUCAAGCAGUACUUGGAUUCAGCUGUUGAGCUACAUUCUUUCUCCUUGCUGUUCUGCCAUACCAGUCUUGACAUCGCAAGGAUAAAAGUGACGCCUUUCUAAUAACGUUUCACAAACUUCCAUUUCUCCAACAUGAGACACGGCAAGUUUGCUCGACUCGCCUAGGCCGUGCCGCCAUAGCCGAAGCCGUACUUCAAGUCUGAGCACAGUAUCUGACAGAGUGCGUUGGAUCUAGUUCGUUUCUUUUUCCAAAGGAGGUGCCAAAUGUUUUCGGCGAAGAUAUCUUAAAAGAGCUGUCAUCGUGUUCCUUGGCAGGCGUUUUUAUUUAUCACUUUGAUCCUUCUGCAGGUAAAUCUUUGGUAUUGCACGGCUGCAUAUGCGAACGCUGCACUUGUUCAAUUUUGUUUUUAUUUUCUGCUGUAAAAUCACAUGGCCUAGUUAGACAAUUCACUAGGUUAUUUGAAAUGUGACACAUACCGUCUACAAUGCCAAGGAACAUGCAAUCAGUUUCAAAGAAAUCACUGACGUCAGCAAUUAGAAGGGUAUUUUUUGAUCCGGUCAGGCCUGUUCAGUGUUUGAACAUUGGGCGUUCACUGUGGAAUUCACACUUCAAGCCAUUGUAUCUACUUAAGGUGACAUUCACGCUGAUAGUUUUUCUAAUAUGCCUUUAACACUUCAUAUUGGCCUUGAAGAUUGAUAGUACAGCAUGGGGAAGAGAAGCACGUGGUUUAGUACUGUCAAAAAAGCAUUUCGAUCCCCAUCCAAAGACAAUGUUAAAACCGCUCCCAGAGAUCUAGACCUUGUUGGUGACCUUCCACCCAUUGAGGUAACUAAAGCAAAGACUUGCUCCUCAAUGUCUCAUGGCUGCUAAGGAGUGCACUUAUGACUUGUAGAUCUGGAAACUGGUUUUAAGUUAGUUUCGUGGGUUACUGAUGCAUUCAUGGUGCGACAGGCCAAGUCAAAAAACAAGAAGAGAUGGAGCUUUGGAAAGUCAUCAUAUCAACCGUCUGCAACAGUAGACUUCAAAGAACAGUCAGCAGAAAAGAAAGAAGAGAACCGAAAACAAAUUUCAGAAAAACCAUCUGAUCCAGCCAUUUUUACCAGCCGCAAAGCAAGCACUACAGUUUGCUCGUUAACUGCCCUUUCGAAAAUCACAUCUCCAGAUGUUUGGGCAGCCAUCAAAAUCCAGACAGCGUUUCGAGCAUAUCUGGUACACAAUACUACUCUUGUCUUUAUCCAAUUAUCAAGCAUCCGAAUACUUUCAGAGGGAGCUCUGGGAUUAAUAGAUUCGACUCCCUCAAAGAUACAUCAAUUUGUCUCAGACGCUGCCAGAGUCAAUUUGAAUUGCGAAAGCUUCCAACAAAGAUAACAUAAGUUCAUUUCUCUGUGCACUGAUCUUCGUGGAUGGAAUAGAAUGUCAACGUUGCCCAUGUUGCCUUGCAUAGGCUCGGCGAGCAUUGCGUGCGCUUAAAGGUCUCGUACGAUUACAAGCCUUGGUUCGAGGCCACACUGUACGUCGACAAGCUACUAUCACACUACGUUGCAUGCAAGCGCUGGUCAGGGUUCAAGCUCGGGUUCGGGCUAGACGAGUACGUAUGUCCGAGGAAGGGCAAGCUGUGCAAAGGCAGUUGUGGGAACGGAGGCAGCUGGAAUCUCGUCCAAGGAAAUCGUUGGUAUGUGUGUCAUUGCCUACAAAUCCCUUUGCCUCUGCAGCAGUUUGAAAAAUUCGGCAUGUAGACGAAUUUUGCCUCAGUUCUUACGCUCUAUUCUAUCUCAAAAAAGUACAUUCUUGCAGGGAUUCAGCUAAGAUAUUGAACAGGUUAUAUCAUGUUUUCUCCUUACAGAAUCACCAUCUUUGUACAUGAUCUGUAGAACCAUCAACUAAUAAACUUGUUUUUACUAAUAUUGCAAAUUUACAUUGGAUAAACUGAGAUAGAUUUGAUAAGCACUUGAGGACGUAAUGGCAGGACGGAGGUUGGAAUGAUAGCACUCAAACAAUACAUGCAGAAAAAGUGAAAAUCCUGAACAAGCAGGAGGCCGCCAUGAAGAGAGAAAGAGCUUUGGCUUAUGCUUUCUCCCAUCAGGUUUGUGUUAGAUUCAUUCGCUCAGUUACGAUUGUAUUUGUGUAUGUUACUAUAAAUUAUCUCUGCUCGUUGAUAUUGUUCAGUCAACCUUGAACAGUUCACUUCUUAGCUGGCAGAAUCAGGCAUGCUCUUCGGGCUUUUUAAGCUGGAGGAUUCAUUUCUUACCGAUUUAUAACUGACAGUUGUGGAAGUCGGCCCCCAAUCAAACAUCACAGCUCCACAUAGAUUGCGAGCCCGACAAGCUCCACUGGGGUUGGUGCUGGUUGGAAAGAUGGAUGGCAGCGCGACCAUGGCGAAAUCGCACAUUCGACAUCUCUGCUCCAAAGGAUGUUUUUGAGGGCCACCCUGUCAAAACUGCAGACCUCAACACCGUUCAGAAGAAACACGAAGCUGCUGAUCCACGUCUUCCCACACCACACAGCAUAUACAACAAGCAAAGACUUCAUUCGGCACAAAACGGAGCCAUUAGAAGUGAAAGUUACUCAUCAAAUGGACCAUCCAUGUUUACCUCUAACGGCCACAACCAUUUUAGCCCGAGUACCAUGCAAAGAACAACAAGCCAGGGUGCGCUGCAACCCCCAGCAACUCCACCCUCAGGCCACAAGGCAACACCUUCCCUAAUCCGAUCUGCCAGUCCUCGCAACCUUAUCAGGAGGGAAGAGUUGGAAGAAGGGGGAAGCGCUGUUUCAACCACAGCAAGGUCUUCUCCUUCUGCCUUUCGCUUUGGCACUUGCUACAGCCAUGCAGGAUCCAUACGCGAUGAUGAGAGCUUAGCAAGCUGUCCCUCUGUUCCAAACUAUAUGCAAGCCACACAAUCAGCAAGAGCCAAAGUGCGCUCGCAUAGUCAACCUAAGCAGCGGCCUGGGACCCUGGAGAAAGAUGGAUCGUGGGGCUCUGCAAAAAAGCGACUCUCAUUUCCGAUUUCAGAGAACCUCAUCAGCAAUUCUGGUCCCAUCAUGAAACCCUUUCGUCCUGCCGCUUAUCCUCAACGAAGUCCAAGCGUCAAAUUAGGAGUCCGCACCGAACGAUACGUGUUUUCGAUGGGCAACGAUAGCCAAAACGGCGAUGCUGUAACACCUUCUUCUACUGAACUUUCAAGUUCCAGAGCGCCAUUUCGGUGACUUUCUAUUUAUUCUUCACAUCAUUUUCCUUUUCCUAUUUAUAGUUCAAUUACCCACAUCAGGUAGUGCUGUGUGCGCUCUGUUUCUGAGCUGGGUACUUUUUCCUUCGUUAUUUGUGAAAAUAGUUAGAUAUUCAACUGUGGUAAUGGCUUUGUUUUGGCCUGCUUUUCAGAAAUAUAUCCAAGUUGUAAUCACACACUUUAGGAUCACGGGUACCUAUCAGUUAGGCUCCUGUGAAAGUGAACUCCAUUACAAGUAGGUACUGCAAUAAUAGUUUGGCAAAAUACUGCCUGAAAGCGACAUUCUACCCCAAAUUACUGUCAUAAAUGCUGCGACUGCGAUGGGUAUGGUUAAAAUCACUUGAGGCAUUGACAGAAUGUAAUGAGUAGCAUUGUUGUUAAUUCCGAACUUUCCACUGCAUGGUCUGUGACUCAUCUACUCUGGAGUGUUUUCUCCCCAAAUUUCGUGGAAUUUUUUUCUGCAGGCACAAAAAUCAUUUUCCACUAAUUCACAAGAAAUGUCACCGUCGCCUAUAACAAUAAGUUGAACUGUCUUUCACGUAAGACAUCUCUGCUCUGUAUUGACAACUGGGACGCUGCUUUACUAUUCAUUUACGUUAAUACAACAAAGCAAUUAGAACAAUUUACAGCCAUUGCCUGAGAUACCCUGUCGACAAGGAUAGGUGGAAGUGCUAUGGUAAGUAUCCCGGUUGCAUGAACAUGGCUUCUAAUGGAUACUUGAAGCACACAGAACCAUUCGUGACAAUUUGCAAAUGACUCUUCCUGGAGGUUCUACAACGUUAUGAAUAUUUGGAGAAUAUUGCAAUCGUGAGUGUUCCAGGGUCAACAUGAAGAUACAAGUUAAUACGACCUCAUAGGUCACUUUAUUGACCUUUCCCCUGAGCAGAAACAGGUCCUACAAUCACCUAUUUCGUGCAUACAUGAUAAUGAAUGAUAAUAUAUAAUCAAAUGACUUGCAUCUGACGAGAGAAUGCAAUACUACAUGAAAUGUGAAGAAAUAGUGACCAAGAAUGAUCAAGUGCAAUUCUCAUUUCUUGACCAUUCUUGGUCGUUGAAAUUAGAGCCCCACUUCCGCACCCUCUACUUCAUUAUUGGUCAACUCAAGGGCAAUGCUUCUCAUGUACUGGUCCCCUCAAUCUGCACGAACCCAGAAAACAAACCGCCUUCGACGCCCAUUAUAUUUUGGAUCCAGCCUCCGGUGAAAGGAUCUUGCAUGCUGACUACCUUCGUCGCCGGGACAAGCAGAAACAGCUGGUUCGGCAGUGAUUCAACUUACUUGCUGUUCACCACUUCCAUACGUCUCCGGAUUUCGCCAUCCUUCCCAGUGAGCACCCCAAUCUUGCUCAUGGCUACCAUGGCUUCAGCAAAAUUCUUCUUGAAUACGCCGUCGUCCCUGUUCUUGUAAACGCAGUGUCUAGUGCGGGAGUCGCUCAUCAGAGUCUGAUCGGAGGUCAACAGACCUCGAUGGUGAACGAGAUCAUGGAAAUACCGUCCAUCAAAUUUUUCUGGAGUGGAAUCCAAGUUCACACGGACAAACAUAUUCGGAUUAGGGCACUGCGACUUCAAGUACAACUUGAAACUCGGGGAAUAAGGGUCGGCAUACGGUUCGGGGAUAUCCGAGUGGAGGCGAUUGUCGAAUGUGAUGCAGGUGGCUUUGCCGAUCGUGUGAGCCCCUAAAAACAAAAUAAAAGGUCAGAUUCAAGUAAUUUCUAGUUCGCUUUGAUACUGUACUCAACUUGAAUCAUAAGCGCGAACUGAAUGUGAGUGAAGAUCCACAUACCUGAUAGGACCACCAUUUGAGCAAGAGUCAUUCCCUUGCUCUCGAACAGUUGGAUUAGGUUGGUAGCGUUCGCGCGUGGAGAGGGCAAAUUAGUUAAGUUUACAUCCUCCACCUUGGAGACAGUCCCAUCUCUGCGGCCACCAGGCACGUUCCAUCCGAAGCCGCCAGCCUACUCAAGCAAUAUCCAUCUGUUUUUCAGAUUGAAGUUUCAGAUAGAAAUAGAAGAGCAUCACAUUGACGAGUGAGAGGUCGCUUUUUAUAUCUCAAAAGUGAUCAAACAUACCAGUAUGACUACGUCACGAGUAGCGUAUUGCAGGACAUCAGAACACGACACAACUCCUGGACAGGCCUUCUCGACAGCAUCCUUCGCAGCGUUCAGCGCUUCAAACCCGUGCAAGUUAGCGUUGCUACGAGACGACCGCUCCGUGUUAUUCCCCUUCAGAAGCAAGGAGCAGUCGCACCCCUGAAGAGAUCAUAAUAGAAGCAGCUAUCAAGCACUGGAGGAAUCAAGUGCAGUCGUUUUGAAUAUGUUGAAUGCACAGUUCGAGAAUAUUCCGUGUACUCAAAUGAUAUUAGGAAAGUUGGGAAAUACGAAAUACUAACAGCACUGCGCUAACAACUCAGAGUCAACAAAACUGAAGGUCUAGUUACCCGGACAAAGCAGUCGUGAAAUGACAUGCGUAGGAUGCCAGGUGCAAUCUUCUUGUCUGCUUUGAAACACUUGGAAAUUUCUUUGAAGAUAAUCUUCUCGACGUGGGGACAGCUUCGGUGGUAGUAAUUGUCCCGUAAGCCGCCAUCGGGCACAUGAUGCGUCCCCGAGUUAUGAUGGACCUUAUCAUACUUCGAAGCAGACACAAAGGAGUCCAAGCUCAAUAUUAUCACCACAGCGCAGAGGCGAACGUACCAGGCCGACGCCAUAGAGCGUUGCACCACUAUGACAACGGCGGAACUAAUGCGACGAUCGACCGGUUGCUAAUCGAGAUUCUCAAUCUUCAAGUUGCGUAACAGAUUACACAACUGACUGCGCAUUUAAAAUAUUGCCACAACCUACUUGAAUACAGUUCGCUGCGUAGCAACGCCCCAGGAACGGAGUCGGAACCAAACCUGAUGAUAUCGUGGACUGGGGUUUCCAGGGGCUUUAAAUCUGUCCUCGAACAACCAAAUACAUUUCUGAGGUUUCAAGCUACCAUGUACACCGACGUUGAUGCUGGCACCGGUGACCUCAAAGACACCAGAGAUCACUUGUGCAGAGACAUCAUGCAUUCGUCUGUCUUUAUGAAUGCGUUGCUAAGACUCAGCCUAUCUUGACAACAACAACAACAACGUCAACGCGGGGUAGCACUAUUCUGCACUUGUCGUGCACGAGCUUCGAAGGUCAACGCUUUUUUUAUCCUAGGGCUCCUUCGACAGCAGGGAUUUGCCUCGCCUUGGUGACAUGAACUGGAGGAUCAUGGUCAGAUACCAGAACACCCUGGCUAGAAAUCUGAAGAACUUUUCUUGGAUUAUGAGGUGACAUUGCAGUAAACCUAACACGCUCCUCUACCUGAUUCAUAGGCUUCGACUGAUCUGGUGCCCAUUUAUACACCUGCUAGAUUUUGUCCAGAAGGGAAAACGUCUUUUUAGGCGAAUUAUCGGCAUGUUGAUAGCUGUAUGGUUCCAGUUUUAUCAAAACACAAAACAAACAUAUUCAUAUUUCUAAGCAGAUUGUUGUAGCAGAGGAAAGAUAUGUCCAAGAAUAUGUCAUAGUUGCAAGUUUCAUUGGUGGUAAACCAAAUGUCACAUUCAAGACAUGGUUAGAGAGACUCAAUACUCUAUUUAUUAUCAAAUGGAGGACUCAUUGCCAGCAACUAGAUUGGGCAAGGCUUCUUCUGCCUUCAAGCUCCAAACCCUACAAUUGUACAGCAAGUUCUCUUGCUUACACCAUAUGGAGACAAUGGCCUCAUGUGCAUCUUUCAGCAUUGGAUACUAAAUUUCGACUUUAAAAGCAGGAAAUGUAUGUUGAUUCCUACCUAGAUAUCACUCAAAAACUUGUCAUGGCAAUUCAAAGCUGUUACAACUGAAAUUAUUUGGUCUCUAGGAAAAGUCAUUGAAAUGGACACUAAAAACUGUCUAUUCAAUGAACCAAGGUUCUGCAUCAUACUUGAUACUAGCCAAGAGUAGGAGACAAAAAUUGAACUUGAAGGUAUGUUGACCAAGAAUCUGAUAUAGGUUGUUAACUAUUCAAAUCUUUCUAUUCUUUGCAAGCUCUAUAUCAAAACCAAUCAUCAAAUCCAAAAUUAUCCAUUGAGAAAUGACGCCAAUAAAGACGAUCCUUCUAUGCAUAUUCAUCGAGCUAUCAAUGUCAAACCACAACAAUACCAUGCAUGCUAUCACGGACAUCAUAUUUAUUCUAAUAAUUACCUAAAUGAUUAAGUAGAAGUAGAUAAAAAUAGAGUUAUUUCAUAAUAUCUUCUAAAAAAGCUUCCUAAAAGCUUUACAAAUGCUACUUUGACUUUACAUAUGUUUGUAGUUAAUUGGUAGGUUAGAAACUUGAUCAAUAAAUUAGUUACAUGACACACAUAUUAGUAGCUUGUGGAAGAAGCUAAUUAUAUGGUACACAUAUAGAUAACUUGCCUUGCAAGUUAAAUCAUAUGUCUAGCAAAGUCAACACAUGUUGGAGGUCUUAUAGAAUAUUGCCACAUUAGAAAGUAUUUUUUGAGGCAAGAAUAAAGUCUUUUUCACUCUUGUUAAUGUCUUUUCAGUCCUUAGUCUUAUUUCAAGUCUUUUUAGUCUUCUUGUCUUUGGCAAUAUAGUAUCAUCUUUGAGUGAUUUUGUAGUCUUUUUGAGUGACAAAAGAAUAUAUUGAGAUUUUCUUUCUUUAAGAUUCAUGCCCUUGAAAAUUUGACAAAAGUGCUAAUUCAUUGUUCUUCUCUUGUUUUAGAAGUGAGUAGAUUACCUCACUUCUGUUGUUAUAUUUUGAAGGUUGCAGAUUAUCCAUCUUUAAAUAAAUUAUUUAAUUUUCUAUUAUUGAUUUUUUUCUUUAAAGAGAACAAAUUAUCUUUCUUUGUAAAAAUUUUCAUUUGAUAUUAGAGGUUGCAGAUUAUCAUCUUCUAAUUUAAUUUCUGGAUUUGUUAAGUUAUUUAAAAUAAAAGAAAAAAUCAUGGAUACUACUCUUUGUAGAAGUGAGAAUAAAUUUGCAACUAUUGCAAAUCUUCAUGAACUUAUCAAUACACAUAGGUGGACCCUAAACACUAAUCAUAUACCUAUGGAAAAAAUUCAGAGUCUAUGUCAAGAAGUUAUAUAAUUGAAAGAAAUAAGUAAAUCAAUCUCACAACCAAAUCCAAAAAGUUUUGCUUCUACAAGUACAAUGAGGAUAAGGAUUAAUAUGCUUAAAAAGUUUGAUAGAGCAAGAUCAAAAUUUUAAAGAUUUUUGCAACAAAUCAAGUUCUAUCUAAGAUUGCAUCUCUUCCAAUAUCCUGAUGGAUUUACUCAAGUUGGAUUUAUAAGUACACUUCUAUACAGAAGUGCUUUCUCUUGGUUUGCACUUUUGAUAGAAAAAUACUCAUGACUUGUUUAUGAUUUGAAUUCAUUCCUAAAACUUUUUACAUCCACAUUUGGAUAAAAUAAUUGAGAAAAGAAAGUAGAAAUCAAGCUUUUAUUUUUACAAUAAAAUCAUGAUCAACCACUAUAUAUGCUACUAAAUUCCAAAACCUUACUUACAAUGUGGAUUGGAAUGCACUUAUCCAUUAAUUUUGAUACAGAUUGAAGAAUAACGUCAAAGAUUUGUUAUUGUUAAUGAUAUAAAUAAAAUCUUUGAAAUAAUCUAUUACUCAAGCUAUUCUAUGUGACAAUUGAUUAUUUGAAAGGCAUCAAGAAUAAAGACUUGGUUGAAGAAGAAUAAGUCAAGUAAUGAUGGCAACUCCUAAGUUUUAAGAAAUUUAUUCAUGAACACUGGAACCAAUGGAAAUUUAUAUAGUAUGUUUUAAAUUCCUCAUAGAAGAUAAAAAUAUUUGACGUCAUCAAUAAGGUUUAUACUUAUAUUGUAGAAAAGCUAAGCAUACUAAUUAACAUUCUCUAAAAAAAUAAUACAAUCACAAAAAGAGGAGCACAAUUGCCAAAGAAAGAUAAUAUAUUAGAAACAAGUUUCUUAAACUGUAAUAUAGACUAUGUGGCUAGAAUCAUGUACAACACCUAGUAAAGGUCUUAUUUUUUCUUCACAUCUUUCAUCUUGUUUUAUAAUAGAUGUGUGUUUAAGACCUAAAAAUCACAAAGUCUUUGCAUUAUUAGAUUUAAGAGCCUCAUUCUAUUUUAUAUAUAAAGACUUUGUUAAAAAAUAAGAAAUAUUUUUAAUUAAGAAAACUAAAUCCAUACAUAUAGAAGUCAUAGAUGGUCAUUUGUUAUUUUCUAGAAAUAUUAUUUAUGAGAUUGUUCCAUUAAAUGUAGUAGUUAAAGAUCAUAAUAGCAUAGUAAUAUUUAAUGUGAUAAGAUCUACCACCAAUCCAAUUAUUUUAGAAUUAUUGUAGUUAAAAAAAUAUAACCAUCAAAUAGAUUGAAUUUCUUCUAAUUUUAAUAUUUUUGAUAGUUCAAUCAAAAAUAUUAUUAGUCAAGUAGAAAUACAUAAUUCUAAAACAUCUUAACUCUUAUUAGUAAGUGCAAGAGCUUUCAUGCAUAUUACAAAAGAAGAGUUAUCUUUUGCUAUAUAUGUUUUUAUUUAUGAAGAAAAACAAUGGAUCUUUGUAGAUGUGUAUAGAGUAUCAAGGACUUAACAAGAUCACCAUUUAAAAUAAGUAUCUCUUAGCUUUGAUUUCAAAACUUCUUGAUUAAUUCUAUGAACUAAAGAUCUAUAAAAAAAUAGAUCUAUGAGGAGUAUACAAGCUAAUCUGCAUCAAAGGAGUUGAAUAGAAGACUGCUUUUUGAACUAGGUAUAGACAUUUUGAAUAUAAUUUCAUGCUUUUUGGACUUAUAAACAUACUAGUUAUUUUUCAACAUCUUAUAAAUGUCAUUUUUGUGAUUUUCUUGAUGAUUUUGUUAUCUGUUAUUUAGACAACAUUCUAAUCUACUCUAAGAAUAUAGAAGAACAUAAGCUUCAGGUUUGUUGUGUAUUAGAAAAACUUAGAGAUGCAAGAUUAUAUGCCAAGAUGAAUAAGUAUGUAUUCCACACUUCUCAAGUUGAUUUUCUAAGAUACAUCAUUUCCAAUAAAGUUCUAAUUAUGCAUCCAAAGAAGAUCCAAACUAUCAUAAAUUGGAAGAUUUUAAGAAUAAUAAGAAAUAUGCAAUGCUUUUUGAAAUUUUCCAAUUAUUACAAGAUCUUUAUUAAGAGUUUUUUUCAAGUUAUGGAUUUUAUUACAUAUAUGAUAUGUAAAAAUAAACUUGAAUAGAGGAAAGAAGCUAAAACAUCAUUUGAAGCCUUCAAAGAUAACAUCUAUUUUUAUAUCAAUAUUCUAUCAUGUCAAAUUUUUCAAGGUAUUUUUUAAGAAAACAAAUACAUCAAUCUUUUCUAUGUGUAUUGUUUUGUCACAAAUGGGAGCUAAUGAUAAGUUCUAACUGAUAACUUUUCACUAUAGGAAAUUUUCAAUGGUCAAGAUUAACUAUGAUAUCUAUAACAAAGAGCUUCUUCCAAUUAUAGAUUCAUUUCAAGAAUAUCAUUAUUAUUUAGAAGGGGUCUCAAGUCCAAUUACAAUAUAUACAGAUCACAAGAACUUCAAGUAUUUUGUAUUGAUAUGAAUUUUGAAUUGUUGAUAAACCUAUUCAAGUAUGUUUUUAUUAAGAUUUGAUUUCAAGAUCACUUAUUGAUUUGAAAAAUAAUAAGGUUUGUCAAACACCGUUUUUAGACAUUCUUAUCUUAUACCAAAAGAAAAAAAAAUAGCUUUUGAUUAGUAAAGAAUGAUUCUCUUGAAUCCAGAGUAUUUUCAUCUUUGAGUAAUAAAAUCAACAUUAACUAUUGAUUCAACUAUUUUCAAGCAAAUUCAAUCAAGUAUGUCAUUUAAUCCUCUUGUUUAUGAUAUCAAGAAUAAUUCUUCUAAAUCUCAUAAUACUUUUAAGUUAAAGUUCAAAAAUAAUCUAUUCUAUUUUGAAGAAAAAUUAUAUAUUUUAGAAGGCAAAGCACAAUUACAUGUUCUUCAAGCUUGUCAUGACUUUCUAAUAUGUAGGUAUUUUGGAUAUAAUAAGACUUUAGAACUAAUGUUCCAAAAAUUUUUAGUGGUCUCAAAUGAAGAAGGUAGUUAAAGACUUUGUAUAAUCAUGUGAUAUUUAUUUAAGAUAAAAAAUUCAUCAUCAUCAACCUUAUAGACUUCUUCAACUAUUAUUUAUUCCAAAAUAACCAUGGUCUUAUAUUUCUAUGGAUUUUAUUAUGGAUCUUUUAGUUUCAAAUUCAUAUGAUUUUAUAUUUGUGAUAGUAGAUUAUUUUACCAAAAUGGCACAUUUUGUACCAUGUAUAAAAUCUAUCACAAGUGAAGAAACGGCUAGGCUUUUUCUUGAUAAUAUCUAUCGCUAUCAUGGAUUCUUCAAAAAUAUUAUAUUGAAUAGAAAGACUUAAUUUGUAUCAAGAUUUUAAAAAAUCCUUUUCAAGAUUUUAAAAGUAGAUAUAAAGCUCUCUCAUUUUACAUCUUCAAACUAAUAGGCAAAUAAAAUGAGUGAAUCAAGUUUUGAAGUAAUAUUUGAAGUAUACCAUCAUUUAUCAUCAAAAUGAUUGAACAAAUUUUUUACCAUUGGCACAAUUUAGAUAUAAUAUAUUGAUAUAUUUUUCUAUUCAAUAAUUUUUUUUACCAAUUAUGAUUAUUAUCCAUAAUUUGAUACUUUUAUCUUUUUAAAAUUUAUUAAUUAUAUAGAGGAAGAUUUGGCAAAUCUUUUGUGAAAGCUAUAUAUAACAAUGAAGGCAUAGUUAAAGGAAGCUCAAGAAUGACAAAAGAUCAUAGCAGAUGCCUAUUACAAGAAACAAUCACAAUUCAACAUGGAUGAGAAGGUAUGAUUAUUAGGUAUGAUUACUUUGUCACAAUAUCAAGAUUACUUGUUUUUUUGACUAAUUAGACUAUUGUAGUCUUAGACCUUUUCUUAUUUGUGAACAAGUCAAUCUUAUUACCUAUUGAUUACAUAUUUUGGUAUUAUGUAGUAGCACAACUAUAUAAUGAAAAAAAAAGAUAUUAUUAUAGAAGAGCAUAGUAAAAAGAUGUAGUAAAAAAACAAUGAUAAAUUAAAAAAAGAUGAUUAAAAUUUUUGUUUUAAUAUUGUCUUUUAUAGAAGAAACUUCUAUUUACUUUUUAGAGGCAUAAAUAAAAAAAAUUAAAAUAAAUGAGAUAAUAAAUUGAUAUACACAUACUUAGAAGAGAUUUAACAAUAAGUUAAAGUAAAAUUUAUUCCAAAUUACCAAAAAUUGAUACUCAGAGAAGUCAGGUUGUCAAUUUGGAUCAAAAUCAACAAAAUAGGACGAUUUGGAGGUUCUUUUACAUAUCGAAGAGUAGAUUUUGGAAGAAGACUUCAUAAAGCUUCUUAAAGAAUUGAUUUUGAGUAAUUUGAAUUUAUAAUAACUUUGUAAGAAUUUUGCAAAGUUAGAAUUUUUUUAGAUGACUUUAAAUUUUAUGAAAUAAAAUAGGAUUUAUAAUUUGGAUAAUUUCUUGAAUUUUGUGGCAAAUAUGUAAUUAAAAAUAUAUAGAAUUUUGAAUAUAGUUGUGUUAAAAGUUUUUUAUAAAUUUGAACUUAAUUAAAUCGUUGGAUUAGAGGUUAUUGAAGUUCAAAAGGAUUAAGAUACUAAAAAUUGGAUUUUUAGGUCUAAUAAGGUUAUUUAAGAUUUGUAAUAAUUUGUAAAUUGGAUUGAGAUGAUUUUUAUUGGAGCUAAUAGUUGUCUUGACUUUCAACACUUUUGAAAAAUUUGAGAGCAAGUUAAUGGUUCAAUUAAGAUUUAUUGCUAUUGAGAGAUCAAUAUUAUAAUUAAAGAUGGAAGCUAGUUGAUAUCUAAGUGGAUUAUGAUAUUUUUUUUCUAUUUUAUAUAUUUAAUUCUCUUCAAAUUUUUUAUGCUUAUUUUUUACUAAUAAAUUAAAAGAUAUGUAAAAUUUUAAGCAAGAUCAAUAAUUUAAUUGAUAGAUAUUGAGGCUCUAAAACUAUCUUAGGGUUGAUUUGAAUUAAUUGGAUUUUGAUUAGGAUUUAUUUAGAAAUUUAUUAGGAUUUUAUUUAGGAUUUAAAAUUUGAUUAAGAAUUAAUUUAGGAUUUAGGAUCUAAUUAGGAUUGAUUUAGGAUUUCUUUAGGAUUUCUUUUAGAUUUCUUUUGGAUUCAUAAAAGAUGAUGAUUGCUCCUUAUAGAACUUGUUUUUAGAAGGGAAGAUAAUGUCACGGACAUAUAUAUUUAUUCCAAUAAUUAUCUAUUUGAUUAAGUAGAAGUAGAUAAAAAUAGACUAAUUUGAUAAUAUCUUUUAAAAAAACUUUUUAGAAGCUUCAUAGAUAUUGCUUUGACUUUACACUUGUUUAUAAUUAAUUUACAUGUUGAAAAUUUGAUAAAAAAUUAGCUACAUAAUACACAUAUUAAUAGCGUGUGGAACAAGCUAACUAUGUAGUGCAUAUGUAGAUAACUUGCCUUAUAAGUUAAAUCAUGUCUAAUAAAAUCAACAUAUGUUGAAGGUCCUAAGAAUAUUAUCACUUAGCUCUUAAUUAGAAAUUAUAUAUGGAAGAAGAAUAAAGCCUUUUUUAUUCUUAUCAAUAUCUUUUUAGUCUUUAGUUUUAUUUCAAGACUUUUUAAUCUUUUUAUCUUUGGCAAUAGCCAUUUUAAUUCAAUAUAUUAUCAUCUUUGAGUAAUUUUGUAGUAUUUUUGAGUGAUAUAAGAGUAUAUUGAGAUUUUCUUUCUUUAAGAUUCAUGUCCUUGAUACAAGCUCUAAUCCAACAAAAAAAAUACUAAUGAAUUAACUUCAAAAUCAAGAUUGGAGAUCAAAUAAUAUACAAGAAAGCUAGAAGGCUCUCAAAACAAAUAAAGAUGGCUUCUUAAUAGUUAAAAGGUAAUAUAAAAAUAGAAAAGGCUUUUAUUAUUCCACUAUGAUAUAUAGAAUCUAUCCAAUAUAUAGAAAGAAUGCAUCAAUAGGAAUGCUUCACAUGAAUCCAAGCGCAAAUAAAGAAGAUUCUUCCAUCAAAAUUCAUAGUCUCUUAAGAGUCUUAACUACUCUACUUGUAAUAAGGUAUAGAAAAAAAUAAUUAUAUAGAUAGUUGGAACCAUGGAAGUUUUUAGAAUUGGAGUUAACUUAGUAGAACAAGUAAGACCCACCAUAGAACAUUUUGGAAGAAUUUAGGGCAGUUAAUUAGAUAAGGCCUAUCAUAAAAUCUUCUAGAAAAGAUUUAGAACAAUUAUCUAAGGGAACCCACUACCUCAGAACAUUCUAAAAAGUCUACGGUGAUAGGAUAAGGUAUAAAUACGAUUAGCCAAAACCUUUUGGGGCAUCUGGUCAAGUAUAGCUUCAAACCAUUUUUCUUAGUAAAGUUUGGUUUUGUAUCUUUUUAUUUAGUUCAAUUCUAUUUUUUUCCAUUUACUUAGUUGUCUUUUAUAUCAUAUUCUAUGUAGUUAUGUUCAAUUCUAUUCUAGUUUGUUUUGUCUUAUUUUGUGAUGAGAUAUUAUUUUAUAGUGCAAUAGAAGGAUCUUUGAUUUUUGAGAUAGUUUGGUCCUGUUUCAUUGGUAUCAGAGCAAGUGUUAGAUUGUUUACUUUUGGUAGCAUGUAAAUAGUCAUCAUAUAGUCCAAGGUCAGUUGUUGUGGUUAUAUUAGGUACUGUAUUGAGGCUACUAUAAGCUAUUCUUAAAAAGUUAUUUAAGAGGUGAAAAGAUAUUAUAAUAGUAGAGUCUAGUAGAGAAAUUACAAUAUGGGAGAUAUGGCGGAGCAAUCCCAUAUGGAGGCUCAAAUACAAUACUUUUUAGGCCAGAUAGCUACUUUGUAAGAAAAAUAGAAGCAUGAAGAACAAGAGAGUCAAUAUCCAUUAGAUUGAAAUUGAGUAAGCCUAAUACAUACUUUGAAACUUCAAGACAAGAAGUUGUAUGUUAAUGGCUCUUCAACAUGUGACAAUACCUCCAACUAUCCGGGACAAAUAUCAUUAAAGGAAUUAUAUAUGCAGCCAAUUAUUUGAAGGAUGCGGUAGCCAUUUGGUGGCAACAUAAAAUUCAAAGCUAUAGAACUCAAGGUGGAUUUUGUGAUUAGGAGGAAUUUGAAACUGAGUUUAAGAAUCAAUUUUGGCCUAUCAAUGCAAAAAAUAUAGCAUGCGAUCAUUUGACAAAUCUUAUAGAAGCUAUGUCGAUGCAAGAUUAUGUUUCUUGAUUCAAGUCCCUAUAUUUCCAAAUUGGCAAUGUUUUGGGGGAGAGAUGAUGGAUCAAUUCCUACAAGGUUUGAAACUUAGAGUUCACUAAGAGGUGAAGCUAAGGGAUCCACAAACAUUUGAAGAGGCAAUUCGGAUUACAAAGAGGGUCAAUGCUAUAGAUUUUAGAAAUUAUAGAGUACGACUUAUAGCACAAAGUCUUGUGCCGCUAUCCAAUAUUAUGGCAUAACAAUCAAUAUCAAUAGAGAUUGAUGCCUUACAAGGAUCAUUGAUAUUACAAAGACGAGAAAUAUUAGUGUAAAAAGGAUUGUAUUUCUAUUGUUGGAAGCCAGACCAUCAGAUCAGAGAUGGUCAAUGUUGGGCUUUGGUUUGGCCUAGAAUUUGCUUCCUCCAUUCAUCCAAUAUUCACAAAGAAAAGAGUAGUUAAACUAAUGAAAAAAAGAUGUAAACAUGUCCAUGACUAUCAAUGCCUAACUGAGAAUUGUUACCUCAAUCCGAAGGAGACAUGCAAAAGUUCAAAAUAACUACAAUAAAAGAAUACAAAUGGCUCUUUAUGUCUAUAGCCAUUUAGAGUUUGCUCAGCAUUAAUCCCUAUAUCACCAAGAUUGGUACCUAGACUAUACUAUACAUGCAAAAUACAUCCUAUAUCUCAGCCUUGGUUACAAAGACUUCACUAUUGUUCACUCCAACCAUAGAGUAGGAGCUAAACGUCUUUUUAUUGGAGAUACAACAUAAUACAUUUAAAGUCAGUUCUACCAACAAUACUCUAAUAUUCAUUCAAGAUCUUACUCAGUAGUAUUACAUAGAAUUGACAAUCUUUGAGGCAUUAGGGAUAGAUAUAGUAGGAAAAGAUAGCCUGAAAUAUUUUACAAAGAAGGUGCGCUUAACAAUAGUAGGAAAUGGUCCAAGGAAAAUAUAAUAUUAUUAUUUUUAUGGCCCAAUCAACAAACUAUUCUUCAUAUCAAAGUAGAUUUAUUUCCAGCAUAGAAGCAACUUGCCUAUUUCGCCUUGAAACAUAAGAAACUAUUCUACAUAAAUUUUGGUAUUGUCCUUAAGCGAUACAAAUAUGAGAGUUGUUUAUCUUGCUUCUCUAUGGCAUACAAGUCAAUCCAACAUAGCCAUCUAGUUGAUCCAAACUUACAUGGAUAUAAUGACCCAGUCUUCCAAUGAACUAGGGUCAUAUCAUAAAAUCUUUAGCAUCUAUAGUUAAGUCCUAUUUUGGUUGGAAUUUCUAAGUCCUAAUUCAACCAGAAUUACUUGUAUUGGUCUCCAUGCAAUAAAAACACUAUUUUAUUUGUACCAUUUUUUUUUUUUUUUUUAAAAAAAUCCCUGAUUUGACAAACUUUGGGAGUAAAACUAUUCAUUUGAGAUAGCUACUAUGUCAUCUGCACCAAUUUAGGUAUACAAAUAAUUUUAGAGAAAAUUUAUAAUAUAUGGCUUAUUCAUUUUUUUUUGAAUACUGUAAAAUAUUGCGGUUUUUCUUGUAGAUUUGUUAAAGUUAGUAAAGAUUGGGUUCAAUAUUUUUUUUAAUUUUUUUGAUUUUUGAUAUGUACCAAGUUGACUUGUUGCUUAAAUGAACAAAAGAGGUAAUCAAUACACACAUCACUCUAAGUCCACUUGGUGGAUUUAGGUGACAAGCCAUCAUACAUAUAUUAUGUACUUAUCUAUGUUAGUACGUAUCUUUUGACUAAAUAUAAGUUAGAAUUAUUAUGAAGGAUUCUAACUGAUAAUUUUUUAUUAUUUAUAAUUUUUUACCAAUUAAAAUCUUAUAAUUUAUUCUACAUUAAUCACCUUGUAUAUAUAUAUAUAUAUAUAUAUAUAUAUGUUUAAAUAAGAGAUUUUUUUUAGAUUUAAAUUGUUCAUAAAAAACUAUUGUAAAGAAGAGUUCAGGGUACUUUAAAUUUGUUAAAUAAUAGAAGAGGUUGUUUUUGUAAAUUUGAAUUGUGUUAUAAAAAUAUGUUUUUAGGAUUUUCAAAAUCUAAAGCUAGUUAUAAACAUAUUGAGUAGAAGUGUGAUCUAAAUGCUCUUUUUCUUAGAAAAAUUUCCAAUAUCUCUACAUGAUUAUUUUUAAGAUUUGUGGAGAGUAUAUUAAGUAAUAUAAUAAUAUCCAUAGACUUAUUUUUAGUAAUAUCCUUAUUUUUUUAGAAAUAAAUAAAUAUUUAUUUUUUAUAAUUUAUUUUUUAAAAAAUAAAAUAUAGUUGUGGAUUUUUAUUAUUUAUUGAUAAGUCAUUUAUAUUAAAAUUAAUGAAUAUUUUGAAUACAAUGACUAAUUCCAUAGGUUAUAAGAUAAAUUUAAUAAUUUGAAUUUAAUAAGGCCUAAUAAAACAUCUUAACUUAGUUAAAAUGUAGAUGAAACUUGCUAUACCAAUAUGCUACUAAUUUGAUCUAAUUAAUUCUAAGACUAGAAGUAAUGCAAAAUUAACAUAGUAUUGCAACCAUUCUUUUUUUACAAAAUAUAUUUUUUCUUUAAUUAUUAUAAUAGAUUUUUAGAUGUAUUAAACAAUAAUUUUUUCAAUCUUGCAUUUAAAAAGCCUCAUUUUUCAGAUUUGAACUUCAUUAAAAGUAGUAUAAAAUGUCAUAUUAUAUAAAACAUCUCUCUAAAAGAAAAAAAAUAGAGAAUUAAAAUAAAUAUUGAUUAUCAAGGAAUUAAGAGUAAAAUCAUUAUACAUAAUAUUAUUCAUAAUUAUAGCUAUUUUUUCUACAAUAUAUAAGAUUAUUUUUCUAUCUUUAUAAAUAUUUUGUAAAAAGUCAUUUUUCUAUUAUAUUCCUUAUUUCUAUAAUAAAUCUAGACUAAUUUAGUACUUUAAUAAUCCCAAGAAAUUCUUUAGAGAGAAUAUCAAUUAGAUUUAAUUAAGAUUUAUUGUAUUUGUAGAAUUCAUUUGAAGCAUAAAUGAUAGUUAAUCAAGGAGAAUUGUUUGGGUUUUUCUUAUAAAAUUAUCCACAAACUUAGAUCACCUAAAAUGAUUCUAUAUCUUCUUCUAAAUUUAUAGUAUAAUUUAAUAUAAGAAAAACAAAAACUACUUGUUUUUUUCUUGUUUAGAUGUGUAAAAUAUUUUGUAUAAAUUUUAAAUGACUUUGUUUGUUCUAUCUAUUGAUGCUAGAGUGCACCUCUAAAAACCUACUUGAAUUCAGCAUGGGUGAUAGAAAUCUAUCUUUAAUGUUUGAUACUAAGUUUCUAGUUAUGGUCAUUGGAUCAAUAAUAUUUUUAUUUAAAUUUAAAAAUAAGUGGAAAUCAUAUUUGGAAGUCAUAAUUUUCUAGCUUGGAUUCUAUUAAAUUCUUAUUGCUCAACUUAGAGUUAAGGUGCAAGAUCUAUGGUUUGUUCUAAUGUGGAUAUAAUAAUUUUCUAAUUUGAUGAUUAAAUUAAUAGAUUUUUUUAAUUUUUUAAUUUUUUGUGGUAAUAUUAUAUUAAAAUAAUAAUAUUAUAAAAAAGGCUAUGUUUUUAGGUGCAAUCUAGCAUUUAACGGUUUUAACAAGAUUAACUUUAAUUAAGUUGGUAGAGUGUCUCAAAAAUUAUGUAGGUCAUUGUAAUAAUAUUAAAAAGUAUGGCUAGAUUAUUUGUGUGCACCACUUUAAAUAUAGACAACAUUAAGUUGUUGAUUCAUAUAUAUAUAUAUAUAUAUAUAUAUAUAUUUAAUUGAAUUGUCACUUUCUAAACUUGAUCAUGGUUUGACGUAUUGUAGAAGUAAAAGAUGAUAUUGUAUAUUUUUGAUUCUAUAUAAAAUCAAUGUUAUGUUCUUCAAAAUUAGAAUUCCACUUUGUUCAAAACUUUGUUUAGCACUCUUCUUUAAAACUAAAAGUUCCUACUUUAACAAUGAAACUUUCAAUUUUUAACUUGCAUUUGGUUUUACAAUUAGCCUUGAAGUAGGCAACUUGAAUUGGUCCAUAAGUUUUAUUUUCACAAGAUUUUAUUAUUUUUGGUAUAGAAUUAAAAAGUAUUUUAGAUUUCAUUAAUCAGAAAACCAUCAAAACUUUUGCUCAAAAUUAUCAACUACACUAUACUCAACAAAAUUUUAUCUUAGUUUUGUAUGCCUGCUGCAUGUUGGGCAAGUUCCAACCACGAUUUGAAGGAAGAAACUGAGGAGCGGCCCUUCGCACUCUCUCAGUUCAGUCCAGAUUCUUCCUACCAAUCAGACAGGCGCACCAUGAAAGGGUGCACCAGGAAAGGAUACACAGAAGCAAGAGAUCGCAGCUUCCAAAAAACCACAAGUGAUAAAGUGCUCCAGCUCAGACACAGAUAAAUGAUUGGCAACGCAUAUCGACACGCCCAAUCCUAGCGAGAGCUCGCUUAGACUGCGAGGCUGUUUUUCACAACUACCCAGAAGAUGGCAGACAACGAAUACGACGCCGCGUACCCGGCGCGGCAACGAUCUCCUUUUCCAUUUUUACUGUUUUUGUUUCAGUGCGGGAACUCCAUUUUCUGUCGUAAAACGAGUUCUGGAACGAGGGAAGAAAAUUGUCAGUCACGGCAUCUCGGUUCCGAUCCAGGUUUGUAGCGCCGAGUUGCUCUUCCGUAUUCCCCGUAGGUUGACUAGUGGUCUCUGCUCACCAUAAAGCUCCUAUAACUCCUCCCUGAAGCGGAGGACGUUCAUGUGGGAUGGAUCCGCAAAUUUCGAGAUGGCGUUGCUGUUGAAUUCCAUCUCCUCUCCCGUUCGCGAUGGUGUUACGAAAUAGUCACGCUAGUGCCACGCAAUCACUCGCUUCCAGAGCUGAGAUCCACUCCGACCCAUGCAAUCCGAACAAUGCAAUCCUGAAAUUAUAGUAGUUAAACCUAGACAAUUAAUGUCUAAGUAUAACUACUGUAUACAAGUCGACCCAUGCAAUCCGGAAAAUAAUAUACCAGGAAAAUGUGUUUUACACGCAAUUAAUGUCUAGAUAUAACUACUGUAAUCUGCUUGGCCAAUUAGUGACACUCUUUUGGUAAUGGAUGAAUGUGGAUAAAUUCCGUCAGUAGGACGAGAAUAUCAACAAAAUAUACGAGUGCUUCCUUGCGAGGAUGCAGGCAAAAGUCUGAACCUGCAUAUCAGGGACGCCCUAGGCAGAGACAGAUCAAUCCGAUACUGGCUGUCUAGAUGUUUAGAAAUUUGGGAAAUGGUGGCAAUGUUGGUGUCAUUAUUGAAUAUAUUCACGAAGUCUUCAUAAAUGGUUCUUGGAGAGCAUGCAGCGCGAAAACGCCGUAGCUCUCGUCGGGAAACUCCUGGGGCAGAGUGAAUUUAUUGACGCUCUUUCUGUCAUACUUUAGGGUGGCGAUGUCGACGAAGGGUGACGAACAUGGGAGAAUCUGUUGACACCUUACUCCGUGUUCCCGAUGUCGUUGUGGUUGCCAAGGAUCAUGAAAGGAAGGUUGGUUUUCUUCGACAGCGAAGGGACGUAGAUAAGCCUGGCCAGGUUCUGCUUCGCGAGGGCAAUGCUGAUGACGGUAUCGUUCGAGAUAAAGCUCACCGAAGCGAGUGUCUGGCAGGAGCGUCACCGAGCAAGGAGGAGCCUAUCGCGGUCGUUUAUUGUAGCUCAGUACUUUCCGGGUGUAUCCUGGAUCGCAGUGAACCAGAACACUGUAGGUCUGGCCACAUUAGACGUCUGCCACGAUGAUCGUCAUUUUACGAUUCGACCUUGAAGAGGAAAGAACUACGAAUUGUGAGCCCUGCAAUCAAUCCCUACAUCAGAGUUUCCAGAGUAAUGAUAAAAGUCACCAUGGAAAAUUCUGAUCACCAUUAGAAUGAAGUUGAAAGAAGACAAGAACGCAAAAGUGGCGAUGUGAAUGCGAAAAGUCUUUCUAGAAGUGAAUGCAACAUAUGAAGCGCGCACGCACAGGUGCUUGCGUUGCACUUCAGGCAGCCAAGGAGCAGGUGUACUUACUGCGAUUCCCAACCAAUAAGGACUGGGCACGAAACACCUCACUGGUUUCGGAAUAAUUUCGAUUUCUUUGGACAACAAGCAAUGCAAUGGUAUUCCAAAAUUCAGUUUCUAGCCAUCAGAUUGAACUUGCCGAAUGCUGUGGAUGCAUAUCUGUGGCUCGCCAAUGAAUCUGGAGGCCCGGCUGUUCCUGCUGGAUGGACUUGUGUCACUAGUCGUUGAGAAGGGCUCCUUCUUUGUGACUUGUCAUCGACGCAGUGAGAACCACGAAGUCCAGCAGAUCGGUGCAUUCUGAAGUGUCCAUAUUGGAAGCAAAUCACAAAUUUCACUCGGCCAAGUCCACCUAUAUUAUCAAUGCUGGACUUGCAAUUAAACAUAGUUCAGGGAUAUUCGCUCCUUUCUGUAUUUCUGAGUGAAUGUCUCUUCCCGGUCAAUCUGACACUGGGACACAUUACCAUAUCCCCGGAGAGUUUUAAUCCUCUCUGCAUACAAAGCAGGCUGCGAUACAUUCUUCAUUACAUGCAAUCCUAAUCUUCAGAGAUCGUGGCUGUGAAGUGAUACGGAGGAUACAUUCUUCAUUUCCACUUUUCUUGUGGCUGGUUCAUUCCCGAAGUUUAACUGAACCCCACCAGAUGUAUACCGUCCCAAAGUAGUAAUAAAAUUUGUAGGAAUGUGGUUUCUUACCCUGGCCCAGAGUGUGUUCCCUUCUGAGACCCAAAUUGGAGGUCAUGUAUACGCAAUUUGUACUGUACUAGUUUUUUCCCCCCCUUAUGCGCACUUUAUACAACCAUUAUUGGUAAUUAGUCUACCGUCGAAUUCCAGAGAUUACAACAUGAACAGCUUCAGACUAGUUCCAGGGCUGCCGAUUUGUGCCAUCCUGCUCUGCAAUCUGAGCACUCUCAAGGUUCCUCGAGAACUUCCUUUUAAAACAAAGUAUAAAUGUAAAUUCCUCUGGGGUGUUUGAUCCCUUGCACUGUUUUAUCCGUGAGCCUUGCCUUCUACAAUUACUAGCUGAACUCAUCUCGUUGUCACGGGAAGUGUGACUUAAAAUCAUUUAUAAUAAUUAUUUAUAAUAAUUAUUUCAAUAAAUUAUCAUAUUAUUGAAAUUAAUUCAAUAAAUAACUUCAAUAACUAUUGGAAUUGAAAUAAUUGGUCCACCAGAGCAGGUACUUUAAACUAAAAGGAUUCAAAUUGUAACAAUUUACUUUGGAUUUAUGAAUUAUAAUUUUUCCUGUAGUCAAGACAAUCUGCCUUGAGUAAUUCAUGUUGCAAAAAUAAAUAAAUAAAUAAAAGAUCAUGAACUACUCUACCCCAUAAGAUUCAUUUCUUGUUUGUAGGCAUGGUAUUAUAGCAUAUCUGAUGCUAUAAUAAACAUAUUUUUUAUGGGAUGAUUAUAUGAUCAGAUACUAUGAGAUAGGAUCCAAACAUCUUCCCAAUGCAGUUACAAACAGAGUUGUAGCUUUAUGUCAAAAUUUCUAAGCCUUGAGUUAAUCUUUAUCACUUGUCAAUAGGUUUGCCAAAUAAAUUAAUUAAUGCAACUGAAACCAAACUUGUCCAAAUGUCUUUCAUCUUACAUAUCUUUUAGUGAUUUAAUGGUAUAAAUUUGUUACAUUUUCAUACAAAAUUCCUUGCAAUUUUUAACCUCUUUAUUAAACUUUGGUUGAAUUACAAAAAGAAAGUGUUCUCUCAAAAUGAAAAUUGAAUCCACUAUUUCUCUACAAAAUAAUAAAUAAACUCUAAAAUUCAAAAUUCAAUAUAUAAAUUCAAAAUUUUUAGUUGAACAAAUCAAGAUUUGUGCCAUUGUCACAAAAUCCAAAAUUUACUUUUAUCUUAUGAAUUCUUUGUUUAAAUUCCACGGUUUCUUUGCAAUAUAUGUUUAACAUAGGUCAAAGUAAACUUAAUCCACAGAAUAUAAUAAACUACAUUUUCUUCUAAAUGAAUAAUACACACCAUGAAGUUGUUCCCCUUAGAAAUUCAAUCUACUUGGUAAGACACUAUAAGUAUCAUUAGUAGAAGUGAUGGCAAGAAUAUAACUUAAAGCUAAGUAGAAACAAAGCUAUAUAAACUCCUUCAAGAGAGAAAGUAUCAACUUUUUAAUAAUAUGUUAGCAUCAAAGAGCCUUAAAAUCUUGUCUUUUACAUGCAAUACAUAAGUAGUUGUUUUAGUUGGUACUACAACCUCUAGUUUUGAUAAUGACUUGCCUAAUUUGGCAAUAAAUUUUGCUUCGUUGUAGCUCCUUGGAUAUUAAGAUGGAUUUAAUAGUAAAUAGUAAAUAAGGAUAUUUUUGCACAUAUUAUUGUAGAAACUAAUGUUUAUAAUGUUACAAAAUCAUACUUGUUAUUAACAAUUUUAUUGUACAUGCAAUGGAGCCAUGCUCUUUUAGAGCACCUUGGAUCUUUUUAUUGUGUAUCAUCUAUUUGUGCAUAUUACAUCAUUUAGCAACUUCAAGCUUGUGUAGAUUGUAGCAUUUCUUUGGUUGUUUAGAUUGAACUUUUAGAUUCCUGUAAAUUUUAACAUUCUUAAGUUGUCACUUAUGCAAGAUCAAAAGAUAAGUGUUGAAGGUCUUUGUAAAUUUUCAACUAACUCAUUCUAUAAAGUUAUCCACCUCUAAUAAAAUAAAUAAAUAAGCAAAUAAUUAAAAAUAGGUUUCAAAAAUAAAAAACUUACAACAAAAAAAAAGAGGUUUUAUAGUAAUAAAAUAAACAUCCUUAAUUUUGUAUUUUUUGGAGGUACCCCUUUAUAUCUGUCUAUAAACAUUAUCACCAUUAGAUGUCCCUUGAUGCAACCCCUUUUUAUAGUUGUCUCCACCUUCAUGACUAUUAUUUGAUCCAUUCUUGAAUCACUUAUUAGCAAUAGCUUCAAUAUCACCUUUUGUUUGUAGAUACACCUAUAUUUACCUAAAUGAUAUAAAUAUGUAGAAAUAAAUAAAAGUAGGUUAAUAUGACAAUAUCUUGUUGAGAAGCUUUCUAAAAGUUUCAUAGAUGCAAUUUCACCUUUAUAUAUGUCUAUAGAUGAUUGGUAGAUUAGAAACUUGGCCAAUAAGUUAGCCAUGUGUCACUUGUAUUGAUAGCUUGUGGUACAAGCUAACAAUAUGGCGUACUUAUAGAAAACUUGUCUUGUAAGUUAAAACAUAGUCUUACAAAUUAGACAUGUGUUGGAGGUCCUACAGGAAGUUUUCAAAUAGCUCUUAAGUAGAUAAUAUAUAUAAAGGCAAAAGUGAAGCCUUCUUCACUCUUGUCAACUCCUUUCUUGCUUCUAGUCUAGUUUCAAGAGUCUUUAGAUUUCUAGUCUUUAGCAAUAUCCAUUCCAAUUUCUUCUUGAAUAUAUGUUCUUUCUUACUAUUAUUUUUUCAUCUCUCUUUGAUACUUAUCUCCUUUUUAUAUAUAUCUUCUUGUGGAUUCUUGUCUUUGACACCUUCUACCAUUUACCUACUAUUCAAAUCACCUAAAAAAAAUCAAAUGGCAUCUUAAAAUACCAAACAAAAUAAAUGUUGAUUAUCAAAGUUAUGCAUUCCAUGUGUGGAGAUUUCUUGCACACCGUUGACUUUUAUACUUGAGCACAAAUCUUGCUAGGAUCAACGCCAAGGUUCUUAAGAUUGGAGAGACUUUUGACAUUAAUAAUUUAUUAAAGGUAGUCUUUUGUUGACUUAAAUAAAACACUGUCUGUUAUUUCUUCUUUUUCUAUUAGAAGCUCAAGUGGGAUUUUUCUAAUAUUAUCUAAAUACAUACCUCUAAAUAUUUUCCAUUUUCAAGCCAUAGUGACUGAGUGUAGAAAUUGAACCUAAACCAAGUUGUGGAAUUCAUCUCCUAUUAUUUCACAACAAUGACAACAAUGUGUUUAGUGCCAUUGUAGACUCCACUUCUAGCUCUUCUGCACCAUCUACAACCCAAAGAUAUAAAGCUAAUUGUUACACAACCAUGAAUUAUUACAAUUCUUCAUGAGUUACUGUAACAACAUAAGUUGAAAGAGAACAUUCACUAGGCAAAGACCAUAAAAACAUCACCCUUGUUGACCAAAAGAGACCAAAAGAGAGUCCACCUACGAAGAUAUACACAAAAUUCCUUGAUGCAUGUCCUUUCUGUUGUUCUAAUGCCUUAAAAAUUAUGCAUGCCUUGAAAGUUGUACAGCUGUUUGGUAUCUUUGGGACAUUUGUAUCAAAUUUGUGCUUAAUGAAGUGAUUAGUUCCUGAUCAAUUAUAAAACACCAUGGAAAACGCCUUGUGGAGUGCCUUAAUGAAUUCUAAAAUGGGUUGUGAACUCUACAAAACAUGAAUUUUUUUGAUGAAAACAAAGACUAGUCCAUGCUGUGAAUGAAAGCCAACACUUGUAUCCUUGAGCAUUUUUAAUAUAUAGAUUGAGUGUGUGUAUGUAUAUAAACUAGCAGAAACCAAUGCAGUUGGGCAUAGAAAAGUUGUUUGCAUCUAGUAAACUAUAAGUCUUUUUGCAAGUUAAGUACAAUUUUUUGCUGAAUAAUGACGUCUUUGAUUUUAAUCAAUGAGGAAGUUCUUUUUAUCUCUUUAUCUUAUACCUAAACUUCAUUAUUAUUAUUAUUAUUAUACAUACGCACACAAAAGUCACAUAUAAAAUGUCCUUAACUGCACUCCUACCAUACCUAUCAAUGUCAGAGCUAAGUCAGUCCUAGUUACUUGAAGUGCUUUAAAGAUAGAUGAGCAGCAAUCUUGCAAAUAUUCCACAUCAUACAUCCAUGGUUUAGAAUACUAAACCAAGCUGCUUGUCUUGGUUUAGAGUCAACCCAAAUUUCUGAUUCAAAGACCAUUGAGUUCCUUUGUGUCCAAAAAACCCACAUGCAUAUCCUUUGAAUCCAUGUCAACACUAUACAAAAUCUCUUCAGAUUAGAUGACAUGCUUCAAUGGACCUGCUUUACAUACAUGUACAGACCACUACUUAUGUUUUUAUUUUAUUUGUUUGUUAGUUUUGAAUUGAUAAAUUUUAUUUAAUUUCAUUAAUUAAAAAUUUAUGAAAAAUAAAAACAAGUUAAUAUAUUUAUUAAUAUUUAUUUUAUUUUUUAGAUUUUUUUAUAAACUGUGAUUAUAUAUGUAUAUAUAUAUAUAUAUAUAUAUAUAUAUACGAUUAUUUUUUCUAAAAAUAUUAGAAUAUUAAAUCUAUAUGAAAUAAUAAUUUUAAAUUAUUUAUUCUUUUAUUCUUUGUUUACAUAUUCUUUUUAUUCAAUUAUAUCGAAAGGAUAUAAAAAAAUAUAUUACAUUAUUCAAAAAAAAUUAUACUUAAAGAAAUGAAUAAAAUAUUAUCUUAAAAAUAUUUGUACAAAUUUUAGUUUUGUAAUCAACUUUCAUAAUUAUUCUUAAAAUAUAGAUCUAUCUAUAAAACUUUGUAAUGUAUUUGAUACAAGAAAAAAUUAAAAUUAAAUAAUAUAAUAAUUUUAUCCUUAUUGAUAUUUAAAUAAUACAAGACAAAUAAUUUACAUAUAUGAUAUAUAAAGUAUAGAAGAUCUAUAAGAAAUAGAUUAAAAGACUUUAUAAUCUUAAAAAAAUAAAAAUAAAAAUAAAAUCUAUAUUGUAGUUAUAAAAGAAAUUUUUAUACAAGUAAUGAUAUAGUAUAAAAAUCUAAAAUUCUUGAAAUUAAUAGAUUUUUUAGAAAAUUUUAAUACAACUUCUUUAAGUUUUGAAAAAACCAUUGCAUUGAGAUUGAUCCAUCUCCAAUUUUGACAUAUAACAUAAUUCAUUCUAUAUAAGAAUAAAAUGCAUUCUACCUCAUUUUUUUCCUUUCUUGAGGCUUCUUGGUUAAUUUUUUAAAGUAUAAAGCCAACCAAGUAAGGCUUCUAGAUUUCAACUAGUCACAAGCAUUUAAAGUUGUAAUCUCUUUCUUUUUUUUAUUAUUUUUUAUUGUGAAAUAUUUAUUCUAAAAAAUAAAAAAUUAUAAUAUUUUCAAUUUUCUUUGUAUAUCUGAUUUAAUUUAGUUAAUUUCAAAUUUGAGUUUUUGAAUUAUUUACUAUAUAUUUCAAAUUUUUAUCAUAAUUAUUUUAAAUAUGAUAUUAAUAAGAUUCAUUUAUCAAAUAUUCUAUUAUUAUAAAAUAUUAAAAAAAAAAUAGAAAAAUAAUAUUUUAUUUAUAAUUAGAAAUUAAAUUUUACUAAGCUAAAAUAAAAUAUAUUUCACUUAAUUUAGAAUAAUUUAAUACUAUAAUAUAUAUAUAUAUAUGUAUAUAUAUAUAUAUAUAUCAUUUUUUUCUUUGCCAAAAAUUUAUUUUUUGUUGAAUUUAACAAUUAUUAUAUAUUUUUAUAUAAUAUAUGUAUUAAUAUAUUGCUUAAUGUAUAUUCAAGGUUCUUAAUAUUAAAUUUGUUUUUAUUUUUAAAUUAAAAAAUAUUAAAAAAUAUAAUUUUAAUUAUUUUAUAAGAACAGUAAAUGAAUCUUUUAUUUAAAAUAAUUUAAUUUUUAAAUUUAGUGUAUAAGUUAAUUAUAAAUUAUAUAUGUCAAAAAAGAAAUAUAUAUAUAUAUAUAUAUAUAUAUAUAUAUAUACAUUACAAUUAAAUAAUUUAAGUUUUUUUUAUUAUUAUUGGCAAAAAAAAUUCUUAUAUAUUACAAUUUAAAUAGCUAAUUUUAAAAAAAAUCAUAAUAAACUAUAUUUAUAGUAGAGUCUUUAUUUUAUUAUUUUCAAGAUAGAGAAUCUUGAUCAUAUUUGGAGAAGGCAUUGUAAGAUGGCAACAUACAAUUGUUUAUGUGUACAUAUAGAUGUUCUAAGAUCUAUUUCUAUGUUCUUCAAUGAUUGAAUUAGAUAUUUGCUAAUGGUCAUUGUAAAUAUGGCUUUUGUCAUGGACAUAUAUAUUUAUCAAGAUUGAAGGAGCUAAAUAGGACUAAGUAGAAGUAAAUAGAUUUGAUAAUAUCUUAUAUAGAAGCUACUUAGAAGCAUUAUAGACUUAGAUUUGACUUUAUACAUAUUUGUAGAUGGUUGGUAGAAUGAGAACUUGGCCAAAAAAUUGGCCUUGUUUUGCACAUGUUGAUGGCUUAUAUUACAAGUUGGAAAUAUUAUGUAUAUGUAGAAAACAUGUCUUGCAAAUUAAACAUGUAUUCUGCAAGUUGGACAUAUAUCAUAGAUUUAAUAGAACCUUGUUACAUAUCUCCAAGUUGAAAAGUAUAUAUGGAUGUAAUAAUAAGGCCUUCUUCAAUCUUAUUCUUAGGUUUGUUUUAAGAAUCACUAAUUAUCUUGUUUUUAGCAAUAGUCAUUCUAAUUUUAAUAUUAUGUUAUCUUUGAGUGAAUAUCUACUCUUUUUUAGUGAAACAAGAAUAUAUUGAAGUUUUUAUUAUUUGUCAUUUAUGUCUUUAGCACUUCUAUUGAAAAAAAUUAGAAAAUUAAAAAUUAAAAAAUUGAUAUAACUUAAAUGGAAUCUUUGUAGAUGGCAAGCAUAAUAUAAUCCUUAGAAGAAAAGCCAAUUGCUUUUUUUAAUUCCUAAAUAACACUAUUGCAUCUAUAAUUCAAUCAAUCAAUAAUUUAAUGAUCAAGUAUAAUCUAUUGCAAAGUCCUUAAUACAAAGCAAUAUUUUGCAAGAAUAUAAUGAAAUAUUUAACCUUCAACUCCAAGUUUAAUGUUGGAUUUUGCUUGCCACAUUGUACCUCUCCAUCAAUCAAAAAACUUCUGUAGUUUCUCUAAACAUCCAUACUAAUGCAACAAAUAAUAAAACAAAGACCUCCACCAAUAUAACCUCACAUCCUCUUCUACACUCCAUGUUCUUUGCUAUAGCCAAUACUAGUUAUUUUUAAUGCUCCCAAUUUGCAAUUACCUCCCAAUCAUGAGCAAACUCUAGAAAGAAAGCCCUCCACUAUCAUCUACCUUGACUCAACAAUGUCUAUCACAAAUGGACCAACAUUGUUUGUUUUCAAAUGGCCCAUAAUGACUACAACUCAUCGCCUCAUCCACAUUUCUCUCCUCUUAUCUAUCCUCAAAUAUUCACCCAAUAUGUGAUGCCUUCCUUGCUUCUCAAUAUCCUCUUCUUGUUGCCUACCAACGUGCCCAAUUAUACCUCUUGCACAUGCUUAUUACGAACUACCAAAUUGUUGUUGGUUUUGGUCCCAUAGAUGGUUACAACAAGGGCAAAAAAUGACAACUAUGAUGAUGUUCACCCCGCCUAGUGUGCUUAGGCCACCUAAAACCCCAGCUAAUCUUUGUCUUUUUUAAACAUCCUUUGUCACCAUUCUGCUUCCUUUUUAUGCCUCCUUGCCCCUAGUUGCCUCUUACCUACUUUGUCACAUCCCUAGAUGGAGCUUUCCUAGCUCUUGCUUGUUGUUCACAAUGCCCCUAAUUAUAAAUCGUAUAAGAAGGGGGGAUAUCAGUCCUAUUGUGCAGUUCUACCUUUGUUUCAUUCUCACUGUCCAUCAUUAUGUCCAUGCCAAUGUAAAAUCAAUGGCUCCACUUUGGACAAUUGCAAGCACGUGACAUGCCCUUAGCUCUGAGUUCUAAGGCUCACAAUUGAGCAAAGCCAUGGCAACAUGUGAUGCCUAGGGAUUUUUGUUGGUGGUUACAUCGAGUUACUUACAAAGGCAACUAGACCAAAGAUAAGAGAUGUGUGCUAUUAAAUUGGUCCUGUACAUGAAUGUAAAAUUGUACUUAUUAAGUAGCAAAUCAUAAAGACAAGUUUUAUCUUUUCUGAUACAUGGUCUGUACAAUUGUAAUAUAAAUAGUGUUUUAAAUUGGAUAUAAUAUAACAGGCUUAGCACAGAGCUGUUUGCUAGUAUGAGAAUGUUUUUAGUGUAAAUCUAUUUUUACCGAUUACAGUAAGACAACAAAAUAACAAAGUAUAAGAUUGAAGAUGUAUGCAUUCAUUUAUUUAUAUUAAACCAAUUUGCCCUAUAAACAAAAAAUAGUAGUGUUAGUAUAAUGAAAUGUAAAUGUAUAAUCUCACUAACAUUGCAGAAUUACACAUAGGCUAUUAUCAUUUUGGAAUGUGAACAGUCUAAAUACACAUAUCAUGAUAUCCCAUAGAUGUAUAUAUUGUUUGAUACAAUAGAAAGCAGUCACUUUGCUUGGGAUAUUUUCACCUUGCGAAGUUUACCAACUGACCUGAUAACAUUGACUGUUAUCGAUCCUACUGCACAAGAUUAGAAAAAUUUCAAGAUUUAUCUACUGCUAUGUUUACUGUUUACGAUUACGAGGGCAUUCCGAAUUGCUAAGGUAUUGAGAGUGUUCGUAGUGUACACAUGCUGGUUUUGGGCUAUCGCAUUUCACAAAAUUUUACUGCAACGGUAGCUCAGCUAAAUACCUUACAUCCUCAUCAGUGUCGUUUAUGGCGCGUUAAGUCAGAUGUAUCAGUAUCGUCCCAUUUACAAGAUUUCAGAGUUGCGUACUUCCAGCUGAGGUAGACAAACGAACACUGCUGACAAAGUGAAAGUCAGAUUGUUAAAAUUGAGCAGCGUGGGCAUCUAUUGAUUCAGGACUGGUUACACUGUGAAAAUGUCAAACAAUGGUUUUUUUUGCCAUCUUCAGUGUUACUAAUGCUGAAUCCUAAAAGUCUGUGACAAAUACUAUAUUGCUCUCUUACUGUGAACCCUUCAUUUGGAUUGACCAGGGGGUUUCUACAUAUUCUAAUUCCGUACUCACACUUGCACAUGUAUCACAUUCGGUGUUGUGCUAACCUCUAAUAAGUUGGCCUGGACCCAUCAAUUAUUAAAAGUUCAAGUGGUCCAGACAAUGAAGACGGUUACCCUUCAUUGCUGAGAUAAGAACUGUUCAAACUGAGUUCAUUCUCUAAUGGACCAUGUUUUAAGUUGAAUGUAAGAUAGUGUGAUAUUUUCUCGUUCGGGACACCAGCGCGAAGAAUCACAAUCUAAAAAAGAUAACGCGGUAUGGAUUACACUAUCACAGGUUGAAAAGUAAGCCAAUUUUAACAUAUUAUACCGUUCGGACAGUAGAUUUAAAAUCUUACUUCAAAAUCGGGUUUUCAGUCAGCAACUCAGGGACUACAUUCGGCAAUCGAAUUAGAUCGAAAUGUUGAUGUAAAUAACAAGACUCUGAAGCAAGUAGGGAGAAAUCAAUGUCAACAUCAGUCAAGAACAGUAGACAGAGAUAUAAACACAGUGGCGAAAAAGUUACAACAAAGACGAAUUCGAGUGGUAUGCGGCUAAGAAACACAAGCAAUGUAGAAGGUCACAACAGAACAAGUUUCUGCACACAAAAAGUUGGGUAGAAAGACGAUUCGAUUAGGAUUAACGAAAGUGGGAUCCUAGUCACAUGACAGUCUAUAAUUUCACCGUUCACUGGCCGAGCUCAGCUUUCUUCUUUGCCCACAGCCUGUCCAGAGCACUGUCGGCAUCGCCCUGCAAAAUAAUCGGAAAAUGUGUACAGUGAAUAAUUCAUUUUCCAAAUCACCACGUCCUUGUAUCACGGGUUUUAGGUUGGGUUACAGAGUCCCAAACUCUCAAUAUUGCAGGAUUCCUUUCAUUCAUCGAACACUGCCACCCAGUUCCUUAGAGCGCUCAUUCGACUGAGGAUAAAGAUCAUUUGGACGCAUGAAUAUGCUCCGCGAUACAUUAUGCUUAAUAUCCGCGACAAAGCCAAUACAAGAACGACAUAAAGCCGAUCAGAGAGAGAAUGUCAAGCUAAAAAAAGGAAUUGUCACAAACCUGAGCACGGACGAAGCCGCACAAGGCAAAAGUGGUGAACUGGCCGGUAUACACGCCGUUCUCGUCAACGUGACCCACAUUCAGCUGAACUGAAGCGACAUCCUUGGAAGUGAUCAACCUGUUGGUCGAAGAGCUGCAGCCGCAUAGACAAUCCGUACACAAAUCAAGGGACUUCUCGAAGACUCCACGAGCAACUGAUAUUCUUCUCAGGCACAGAAAAACCACGGCAACAGAGGGCAUUACCCUCAACAGCACUGACGUAAAAUAACCUAAAACGGCUAUCAUCCAAACCGCCCAAAGUGCAACCAACGACAUCCAACACAAGUAACCUCCAUCUCGUCUCAACGAAACCCAAACCCAGUCCCGUAGAAUCUCGAGGCUUACUGACCAUUACGCAAAACAAAUAGAUGCUGGAACAAACUACCUGUCAGCCACCGAAUUCCCAAGCCCUAAAUUAUAAUUCAUAAACCAUAAACAACAAAAGCGGAAACAAAACGCGAGUU
rnacentral:lncRNA from 1 species